GGGGCCGUGGGGUAGCUUGGUCUAGCCUCCCAGCUUCGCGUGCUGGUGACCCGGAUUCAAAUUCCGGCGGCCCCACCA
rnacentral:tRNA from 2 species